CCCUUCAGCGAUAACGAGCUGAACCAGCUCCCACCCACGGCAGCCAUGCGAUCGCCGCCUUAGCGAUGCGUGAUCUCCACCAUCAUCCGGCAUUUUUGAAUGGAGCUGCUUCGGCCUUCACUGAUCCCUUCCUCCUCGUGAUCAGCAUGUCAUAGCCGCACCAUGCGAGACCUUAUUGUCGGCCAUCGCGCUAUGAAAGCGCAAGGUGACAGCGCGCCUCGCCGGUGCACGCCAACCUGGUCUUCAGCGCCGAGCACGGCUGAUCGUGGAGAUAGCCGCGGCAGUGUGUUCUUUAAGGACACGAUUUGCAGGAACUUUUCUUUUAACUAUUUUAAUUUUAGAUCAAAUAUAAGUUCAUAACAACAAAUCUGAAAAAGUUUUGAAGAACACCAAAUUUUAUUAGCAC
rnacentral:lncRNA from 1 species